rnacentral:rRNA from 1 species
GACGAACGCUGGCGGCGUGCUUAACACAUGCAAGUCGAACGGAAAGGCCCUGCUUUUGUGGGGUGCUCGAGUGGCGAACGGGUGAGUAACACGUGAGUAACCUGCCCUUGACUUUGGGAUAACUUCAGGAAACUGGGGCUAAUACCGGAUAGGAGCUCCUGCUGCAUGGUGGGGGUUGGAAAGUUUCGGCGGUUGGGGAUGGACUCGCGGCUUAUCAGCUUGUUGGUGGGGUAGUGGCUUACCAAGGCUUUGACGGGUAGCCGGCCUGAGAGGGUGACCGGCCAACUUGGGACUGAGAUACGGCCCAGACUCCUACGGGAGGCAGCAGUGGGGAAUAUUGCACAAUGGGCGGAAGCCUGAUGCAGCAACGCCGCGUGCGGGAUGACGGCCUUCGGGUUGUAAACCGCUUUCGCCUGUGACGAAGCGUGAGUGACGGUAAUGGGUAAAGAAGCACCGGCUAACUACGUG